AUCUAUGGCCAUGUCACCCUGAAUGUGCCUGAUCUUGUCUGAUCUCGGAAGCUAAUCGGGGUUGGGCCUGGUUAGUACUCGGAUGGGAGACCACCUAGGAAGACCAGGUGCUGUAGGUG
rnacentral:rRNA from 1 species